UAGUGUGUCUCAUCCUUCC
rnacentral:miRNA from 1 species